rnacentral:rRNA from 1 species
CAGCAGCCGCGGUAAUACAGAGGUGGCGAACGUUGUUCGGAUUUACUGGGCGUAAAGGGUCCGCAGGCGGUUCGGUGUGUCGGAUGUGAAAGCUCACAGCUCAACUGUGGAAUUGCAUUCGAAACUGCCGAACUAGAGUACUGGAGGGGUGAAGGGAACACUUGGUGUAGCGGUGAAAUGCGUAGAUAUCAAGUGGAACACCGGAGGCGAAGGCGCUUCACUGGACAGAUACUGACGCUCAUGGACGAAAGCUAGGGUAGCGAAAGGGAUUAGAUACCCCUGUAGUCCUAGCCGUAAACGGUGUGCACUAGACGUGGGUGGAUUUACCCCCAUCCGUGUCUGAGCUAACGCAUUAAGUGCACCGCCUGGGGAGUACGGUCGCAAGAUUAAAACUCAAAGGAAUUGACGGGGACCCGCACAAGCGGUGGAGCAUGUGGCUUAAUUCGAUGCAACGCGAAGAACCUUACCUGGACUUGACAUAUAGCUGCAUACGACCCGAAAGGGACGUAGCCUUCGAGGGUGCUAUACAGGUGCCGCAUGGCUGUCGUCAGCUCGUGCCGUGAGGUGUUGGGUUAAGUCCCGCAACGAGCGCAAUCCCUGUGUUUAGGUGCCAGCACGUAAUGGUGGGAACUCUAAACAGACUGCUUGUGAAAACAAGAGGAAGGUGGGGAUGACGUCAAGUCAGUAUGGUCCUUAUGUCCAGGGCUGCACACGUGCUACAAUGGGCGCUACAAUGGGAAGCCAAACCGCGAGGUGGAGCAAAUCCUCAAAAGCGCCCCCAGUUCGGAUCGUAGUCUGAAACUCGACUGCGUGAAGUUGGAAUCGCUAGUAAAGGCGUAUCAGCUACGACGCCUUGAAUACGUUCCCGGGUCUUGUACACACCGCCCGUCACAUCACGGAAGUCUGUUGCACCCGAAGUCGCUGAUCCAACCUGUCACAAGGAGGAAGGCGCCUAAGGUGUGAUCGAUAACUGGGAUGAAGUCGUAACAAGGUAGCCGUA